rnacentral:sRNA from 1 species
GCCAGGUGUGGUGGUGCACACCUGUAAUCCCAGAGACUCAGGAGGUUGAGGCAGGAGGAUUGAAAAUUUGAAGCCAGCCUCAGCAACUUAGAGAGAAUCUGCCUCAA